rnacentral:misc_RNA from 1 species
GAAGGCUGCUGGCGUCAUUGUCAGCUCCUUUUAAAUGCAUUAGUGGAACUAUGAAGGACCAGCCUCGGUUUGAUAAUCCUAUCUAUGCUGUCGCUGAGAAUCGUUUGAUCUGCUUCUAAUUGUCCCUAUGGGACUGUCUCCUUUGAGGCAUACACUUGACUCUUGACCUCAAAUCAGGUAGGACUACCCGCUGAACUUAA